CCAGAAUUUUAAUUUUCUUGUAAUGUUUGGUGAAAUGCGUGUGCCGCUUCCACUUCCCCUCUCUACAAAGCAACAAUGCCUCACUCUUCUCUCACUCUGUUCUUCCAUCACCCAACUCCACCAAAUCCAAGCUCAAACCCACAUCAAUGGCCUCUUCCAAGACCCUUAUGUCCUCUCCCAACUCAUCUACUUAUCUUCCCUCUCCUCCUUCGCCAACCUCACCCACGCAAAAACCAUUCUUUUUCGUUCCCCCACCACCCCAUCACCCAUUUCAUGGAACAUCCUCAUCAGAGCAUACGCAACCACUGAUUCUCCGCUUGAAUCCAUCUGGGUAUUCCGCACAUUCCGAAAAUUGGGUGUGAAGCCCAAUAAACUCACUUACCCUUUUCUGUUCAAGUGUUGUGCUAUGGCUUCUGCGCUUUCUGAGGGAAAACAGCUGCAUGCUGAUGUUAUCAAGUUUGGUCUUGAUUCUGAUGUGUACGUUGGGAAUAACAUGGUUAACUUAUAUGGGUUCUGUAAAAAGGUUAAGGAUGCAAGGAAGGUGUUUGAGGAAAUGCCGAACAGAACUGUCGUGUCUUGGAACUCAAUUAUGACUGCUUGUGUUGAGAAUCAUUGGUUGGGAGAUGGGAUUCGGUACUUUUUUAGGAUGCGGGGUUGCGAGUUCGAGCCAGAUCAUACUACUAUGGUGCUGUUGCUUUCUGCUUGUGCUGAGUUGGGUUACUUGAGUCUUGGAAGAUGGGUGCAUUCCCAAUUGAUUUUGAGAGGAAUGGUUUUGAGUUGUCAGUUAGGUACUGCUCUUGUUGAUAUGUAUGCAAAAUCAGGGAAUUUGGGUUGUGCUAGGCUUGUUUUUGAGAGAAUGGAGGAGAGGAAUGUGUGGACAUGGAGUGCAAUGAUUUUGGGAUUAGCCCAACAUGGGUUUGCAGAGGAAGCGCUUGCAUUGUUUGCUGAAAUGUGUGAAAAUCAUAGCAUAUGCCCCAAUUAUGUGACCUAUCUUGGGGUUCUAUGUGCUUGCAGUCAUGCUGGGAUGGUGAAUGAGGGUUACAAGUACCUUCGCGAAAUGGAAUAUGUCCAUGGGAUCAAUCCCAUGAUGGUACAUUUUGGAGCAAUGGUUGAUGUUUUAGGUCGUGCCGGCCUUCUUAAAGAAGCUUACGACUUUAUACAGAGGAUGCCUAUUGAGCCUGACCCGAUUGUGUGGCGUACGCUGCUUAGCGCGUGCAAUGUUCAUGAUGCUCAGGACCAUGCAGGGAUAGGGGAUAAAGUGAGGAAGAGGCUGCUUCAGAUGGAGCCAAGGAGGGGAGGGAAUUUGGUUAUUGUUGCUAACAUGUAUGCUGAAUCAGGGAUGUGGGAGAAAGCGGCAAAAGUUAGGAGAGACAUGAGAGAUGGAGGUAUGAAGAAGAUGGCUGGAGAGAGUUGUGUUGAUUUAGGGGGUUCCAUGUUUAAAUUCUAUGCAGGUUAUGAUUCUAGCCAAGACUUGAUGCAUGUUUAUCAUUUGCUUGAUGGAUUGAACAUGCACUUGAAGAUGGUUGAUAGUUAAUAGUUAACUAGUGUUGGAAAUUGCUCUUGAAGAAUUGUGGACUUGAAUUUAGAACAGGACACAUGAUAAAUUAUAUUGACAAUUUUGCCUAGUUCCAGUAAUUAAUACUUAUCCAGAAUUUAAUCAAAAUUUCCUACAACGCAAUACCUUACUCUAUACUCAAGCUAAGUGGUGGGUGCAGGCACAAUGUAUAGCUAGCUCAUUAGUCAUAAGAUAUGAUGAAAAGAUCAAUGCUUGGAAUUUAUUAUGUAAGAACAAAAGGAUCUGAGAUGAUAAGUUGAUAACUUU